UCUCACUUCUUCCCCGCGGGCUCAGCCGCUGCUCGCCCACCCGCUUCGUUCCCACGGGAGACGCCGCGCGAGCCCCCGGCCAGCGGCCGUCGCAGGCAACCCCGAGCCGUCCUCCGCGUGUCUAGCCUGGCCGCCCGUGGGGGCCGGGGGGGUAAACCCGGGGUUGCCCGAGGAGGUCACUGAGGACACGGUCGGCGUUCGGCAGUUUCACACACAACCACUUCAGAGAGGUCUUUGCCGCCCCGUGUUCAGCAAAGCACGUUUCUAGGCUUUCACGUGACCCAAGAAGCCCUUCUGUGAGAUGAGCUCUGCUGCUGUCGCCUCUCGAAAAUGAGGAAACAGGCUCCGUGGUCAAAAGCGGGCCGGAAGCACCGACCGGGAGCAGGGCUUGGAGGUGACCCUUCUGAGAUGGGCCUUCCCGGCUCCGCGGCCCCCACCCCGGAGCCACCGCCCCUGCCCCUCUAGGGGACCUGUGCCCUGCAGUGCUCGGGGCCCUCGGGGCCUCGCUGCUUCAGUGCUGGGAGAGGCUGCUUCUCAUUUCCUGUUGUCUGUCCUCCAACACUCCUCUGCUCUUCUGGCUUCUUCCUGUGGAGCCGGUGACUCGUGGCUUCCAACGUGCCUCCCUGUCCUCCCGGGAGGCAACCCCCCGCCGUUCUCCCCGUGACCCUAUGUAUGAAGUCACUUCCAUCAACAACAACUAGGCUAACACCACCUAGUUUCCCUCUCAACCCCCCAAGGACGACUUCUCAACCAGGUGCCCUGAAGCACAAGACACUUCCCUGGCAGCUCUUUGGACUUGGUCUUCGGGGAUUCUCUGUACUCGGGGAUUCUCCGUCUCCUGAAGUGCUCCUCAAACUCCUCCCCUCUCGCGUGCUCGACUGUCUGCCGGGCUUCUGCGUCGUCGGCUUCGGGGCAGAGCCCCAGCGCCCCUGUGGCCCCAGUGCCCCCCGCCCCAGGAGGGCCGGCUCGCUGAAGCUGUCUUGGCCCCCACCUCAAGCAGCUCUCCCUGCCUGUCCCUAUGGCCACCACAACUGCGCUUUACAAACCAGGCGGAGAGGUUUCUCAGGUGUUUUUAAAUGUUAUUCUGAAAUUCACUUGUCACAAACUGCAUCCUAAAAAGAGGAGCGGAAUUCAAAUUGUGUCAGCCGGCAGCCAGGGAGCACUGGCAGGAGCGCACAGGGAGUCAGCCCCGGCUCCACGUGCUGGCACCCAGGGCUCAAGCCUGAGCCAGGAGAACCAGGCCUGGGAGGCAGUCUCGAGCACCCGCUAGGGGCCUGGGGGCCUCGCACCAGCAGAAACUUCCAGCGACCAGAAGCUGACCCGGGGCACUGCAUCCAGAGCACUGUGAAGGCAUCUGUACGGAGUGUUUACCCACCUCCACCAAGUGCACUGUGUGCUGACCUCUGCUCUCCAGGAAUCGGGUGACUUUCAGUUCUCUAAAGGACACCCAUCAUGACCUGGGCUCACGGGCUGCAGGGCAGCUCCGGGGAUUUCAGGGAGCGCUCCCUGGUUUCCCCCACGAUGAGCCUGGAGCCCUAACGCCGACGUCCGGGCUCUCAGGUUAUUUAAACAAUUGGUGGCUACAUAUUCACAAGAUUUCUUCUGAGCAACCCCCUCACUGUGUCCUGGGUGGGUCGCGCGCGCAUGCACCUGCUGCAGCCCGAAGUACAGAUAACAGUACCCGCCUCACUGGUGGCCUUAAGGACUGACAAAGAAGGAAAAGCAGGGUCGCCCCGACAUUAGCGAUUCACGCACCACCUUUGCAAGUCUUUAUCAUGCAUGUGCGCCCCCUCUGGCUUAAUAUUUUUAUUAAAAUUCGACAUUCUACUUUACGUGAACAUCUCUUGAAAGGAAGUGUUGUAGUAGUAGUAGUGCGGUAGACGAUACACCCGUAUCCCUUGCAACAAAUGCAAGACAAUCUUAAAAAUAUAUGCAUCAGUGACACAGAAGCAUGCUCUUCUGUGUCCCAACUUUGAGAACCCCUGAAAUGGUGUGUGUAGACACAGCGGAAAAUCCAGAAAUGCCUGUCUUUCCACCCACUGUCCCACAUCCAGCAGCCGUGCUCUGACAGGGAAAACAAGUCAUGAAUGUCCUUGUUUUCUUGGUUCCCCUACAUCAAAUGGCUUCAGCCACUAUCCUCAUCUGUUGGUACAAUUAACUUUAGGGUAUUUUUUUUUUAAGAAAACCCUUAAACUCAACAUCUCAUCGGGUUCUGAGACACGUGAAGACACACAGAAUGCGUUUCUUAGUUCCUACAUCACUAUGUCCUAUGGAGAGAAAGCUGUGAAGGGCUCACGCAGCUGCUGCACGGGGGACCCAUCCCACCUCAGGUCACCCUGGACACCGUUUGUAAUAUUCUUUCAUACAAAUAAAUGGCUCUCAAUGUCA